AUUGAACGCUGGCGGCAGGCCUAACACAUGCAAGUCGAACGAGUGGCGGACGGGUGAGUCAUGUCUGGGAAACUGCCUGAUGGAGGGGGAUAACUACUGGAAACGGUAGCUAAUACCGCAUACCAUCAGAUGUGCCCAGAUGGGAUUAGCUAGUUGGUGGGGUAACGGCGCCCCAAGGCGACGAUGCCUAGCUGGUCUGAGAGGAUGACCAGCCACACUGGAACGUAGACACGGUCCAUGCUCCUAAGGUAGGCAGCAGUGGGGAAUAGUGCGCAAGUGGCGCAAGCCUUAUGCAGCCAUGGCGCGUGUAUGACGAAGGCCUUCGGGUUGGAAAGUACUUUCAGCGGGUAGGCGUUACCCGCAGAAGAAGCACCGGCUAACUCCGUGCCAGCAGCCGCGGUAAUAC
rnacentral:rRNA from 1 species